rnacentral:rRNA from 1 species
CCUACGGGAGGCAGCAGUGAGGAAUAUUGGUCAAUGGACGAGAGUCUGAACCAGCCAAGUAGCGUGAAGGAUGACUGCCCUAUGGGUUGUAAACUUCUUUUAUAAAGGAAUAAAACGAGGCACGUGUGCCUUUUUGCAUGUACUUUAUGUAUAAGGAUCGGCUAACUCCGUGCCAGCAGCCGCGGUAAUACGGAGGAUCCGAGCGUUAUCCGGAUUGAUUGGGUUUAAAGGGAGCGUAGAUGGGUUGUUAAGUCAGUUGUGAAAGUGUGGGGCUCAACCGUCAAAUUGCAAUUGAUACUGGCAGUCUUGAGUACAGUAGAGGUAGGCGGAAUUCGUGGUGUAGCGGUGAAAUGCGUAGAUAUCACGAAGAACCCCGAUGGCGAAGGCAGCUUACUAAACUGAGACUGACAUUGAUGCACGAAAGUGUGGGUAUCAAACAGGAUUAGAUACCCCAGUAGUC